AGUGGCGGACGGGUGAGUAACACGUAAGAAUUUGCCUUUAGGAGGGGGAUAACAACUGGAAACGGUUGCUAAUACCCCAUAUGCUUUCGAGUGAAAUGGAUUUCCGCCUAAAGAGAAGCUUGCGGCUGAUUAGCUUGUUGGUGAGGUAAUGGCUCACCAAGGCGACGAUCAGUAUCUGGUUUGAGAGGACGAUCGGACACACUGGAACUGAGACACGGUCCAGACUCCUACGGGAGGCAGCAGUGGGGAAUUUUCCGCAAUGGGCGAAAGCCUGACGGAGCAAUACCGCGUGAGGGAUGAAGGCCUAUGGGUUGUAAACCUCUUUUUUCAGGGAGGAACAAAAUGACGUGUACCUGAAGAAUAAGCAUCGGCUAACUCCGUGCCAGCAGCCGCGGUAAGACGGGGGAUGCAAGUGUUAUCCGGAAUCACUGGGCGUAAAGCGUCUGUAGGUGGUUAAGUAAGUCAACUGUUAAAUCUUGAGGCUUAACCUCAAAAUCGCAGUCGAAACUGCUUGACUAGAGUAUAGUAGGGGUAAAGGGAAUUUCCAGUGGAGCGGUGAAAUGCGUAGAUAUUGGAAAGAACGCCGAUGGCGAAGGCACUUUACUGGGCUAUUACUAACACUGAGAGACGAAAGCUAGGGUAGCAAAUGGGAUUAGAUACCCCAGUAGUCCUAGCUGUAAACAAUGGAUACUAGAUGUUG
rnacentral:rRNA from 1 species